rnacentral:lncRNA from 1 species
AAUUAAAUUUUUUUAUUGGGGACUUGAUUUUUUCAAACGGAAAAUCGGCUAAUCCUUUGAUUUGCUACAAACGUUACUACGACUUAUGAAGUCCCUUUUGUCGGAAGACAUCGGAGUCCAAAAAUACUGUUUUUGAAUUUUUAUUAAUGUGCUUUUCAUGUGACUCAUUGUGGAACGUUUUUAAUAAUUGGCUAACUAAACUUUUGGGCACCACAGGCCUCGCAGACUUGGUUCUAACAUGACAAAGGAUAUUGUGCUAAUCAAUUUCAACUCAUUCUGCCAUGAGAGAAGCAGCUUGCACCAUUUCCUCCAAUUGCCCUCUCUGCCACUACUCCCAGUGCAUAAAAUUUAACUUAAGCAAAUUAAGUCGUGAUAAAAAAUCCGCGGGUACAUUAUUUUUACCCGAUAAAAUAUGUGCAAGUUUUAUGUUUCUUUCGCUGAGGUCUGCAAAAUACCGAAAAUACUUCAUUGUGGGAUUCUUUGUGAAUUUGGCUGCCACUAAAGGCUUAUGAUCAGUGUAGCAAGAAACACUCUCAUAUGAUAAAUACAAAAAAUAUUAUUAUUAUUAUUCGUGAAGGAAAAAGAAGUUGAAGGAGAGUAAUUGCCUUGUGCGUGCAGUUUAUUGUUACACUUAAAAUGAGGAUGUUGUUCAUUACUCCUUUUAAUAAUAUUUAUUCAUUUAACCUCAUCACGCUCCUCUUCCAUAUAACAAGAUAAUCCACAAAAGCCUUGUGUGAGGUGUUGACGUGAUGAUGUGUCCCUUUAUUGAUAUGAAUAUAAAAUACAUAUAUUGCAGUCACUACAUUUAGGAGAAGAAACCCCUAGCUGUAAGGAUGUUUUGUUCGAUGAGUUGUAAUCAGCUGUGAAAUCAAGGAAGUAAACUCGAAUCUCACUCCGUAUCUAGAAAGGAUAUGGCAGAAAUUACUAUGAUAUCGAUUCUCAAUUAUAUUCUGAGUCCAACAAGGGCUUACAUUUAUAACUAUAAAUUAUUUGUUAUUUAUCAUUAUCCAUAAUCUGACCCACUUUAUACUCUUUACUUUUCAAAAAUUAAAGAAUAAUGACACCUG